UGGGACCUACGGGGCGCAGCAGUAGGGAAUCUUCCACAAUGGACGAAAGUCUGGUGGAGCAACGCCGCGUGAGUGAAGAAGGGUUUCGGCUCGUAAAGCUCUGUUGGUAGUGAAGAAAGAUAGAGGUAGUAACUGGCCUUUAUUUGACGGUAAUUACUUAGAAAGUCACGGCUAACUACGUGCCAGCAGCCGCGGUAAUAAGUAGGUGGGAAGCGUUGUCCGGAUUUAUUGGGCGUAAAAAGGGUGCAGGGGG
rnacentral:rRNA from 1 species